GACGAACGCUAGCGGCGUGCCUAAGGUAUGCAAGUUUAACGGAACCUUCGGGUUCAGUGGCGAACGGUCGAGUAACACGUAGUCAACCUGCCCUCCAGUGGGGGAUAACGGUGGGAAACCGCCGCUAAUACCGCAUGUCGGCCGGGGAUGGCAUCAUCCCCGCGCCAAAGGCGCAAGCCGCUGGAGGAUGGGACUGCGGCCUAUCAGCUUGUUGGCGGGGUGACGGCCCACCAAGGCGACGACGGGUAGCUGGUCUGAGAGGAUGAUCAGCCGGACGGGGACUGAGACACGGCCCCGACUCCUCCGGGAGGCAGCAAUGAGGAAUAUUGCGCAAUGGGCGAAAGCCUGACGCAGCGACGCCGCGUGGGUGAGGAAGUCCCUCGGGAUGUAAAGCCCUUUUCUCGGGGACGAAACGGGCGGUACCCGAGGAAGAAGCCCCGGCUAACUACGUGCCAGCAGCCGCGGUAAUACGUAGGGGGCAAGCGUUGUCCGGAUUUACUGGGCGUAAAGCGCGUGUAGGCGGAAUGCCAAGUCUGGCCUGAAAGCCCCCGGCUCAACCGGGGAUCCGGGCUGGAAACUGGUUUUCUUGAGGACGGCAGGGGAGUGUGGAAUUCCUGGUGUAGCGGUGAAAUGCGUAGAGAUCAGGAAGAACACCCAUGGCGAAGGCAGCACUCUGGACCGGACCUGACGCUGAGACGCGAAAGCGUGGGGAGCGAACGGGAUUAGAUACCCCGGUGGUCCACGCCGUAAACGAUGGUCACUAGGUGUCUCGGGUAUCGACCCCUGAGGUGCCGCAGCUAACGCAUGAAGUGACCCGCCUGGGGAGUACGGCCGCAAGGUUGAAACUCAAAGGAAUUGACGGGGGCCCGCACAAGCGGUGGAGCAUGUGGAUUAAUACGUCACUAACCGUAGAACCUUACCCAGGCUUGACAUCCGAGGAACCUUCCUGAAAGGGAGGGGUGCCCGCAAGGGAGCCUCGAGACAGGUGUUGCAUGGCUGUCGUCAGCUCGUGUCGUGAGAUGUUGGGUUAAGUCCCGCAACGAGCGCAACCCUCACCGUCUGUUGCCAGCACCCUUCGGGGGAUGGGCACUCUGGCGGAACUGCCCGGGCAACCGGGAGGAAGGUGGGGACGACGUCAAGUCAGCAUGGCCCUUACGCCUAGGGUUUCACACAUGCUACAAUGGCCGGUACAAAGGGUUCCGAAGCCGCGAGGUGGGGGCAAUCCCAAAAAGCCGGUCCCAGUUCGGAUCGCAGGCUGCAACUCGCCUGCGUGAAGUUGGAAUCGCUAGUAACCGCCGGUCAGCUAAACGGCGGUGAAUACGUUCCCGGGCCU
rnacentral:rRNA from 1 species